UGUUAGGAGCCGUGCAGCUUGUCUCUGUCUCUUAGGGGAUGAAGUGCAACGAAUUUGUGGGCCGCUGCUUCGGCUUUUUCGUUCUGGCCAUUUUCUUAGACGUGGCUGGACUCAUCCUCUUUCUCUUGGGCAUAUUUGCUCCUCUAAGCUUCUGGGACUUCUUCAUCUUCUCUGGUCCAAUCAUCAUCUUCCUCAGCCUGGUGUUCUGGAUAUUCUGGUAUCUAGGGAACCUCACUGUGCCGUAUCAGCAGCUGCUGCCCAAAUGAGUGAACUAAACAACCUCAUGUGGAGAACGGAAGGUGGUGAAGACUGGGAAAGAGCCUGGGACUCACACAACAGGCCUGAGGAAACCAAAAGGACUAAAGAACAUGUUAGUGGUCCUAAAGGGCCCCAGCACUCAGGUUUAUCGCCAUGAAACGAAUGAGCCAAGGUAACUGGUUCUGUUGCCACCUCAAGACUCAUCAACUCUGCGCAAGGACUUGGGAUACACCUCAAGCAGUGGUGCCCAAUCCAGGUCCUGGAGAUCCACCGACCUAGAGUUUAGCUCCAACCCUAAUCGAACACACCUGAUGCAAAGGUGUGACGGUCUUCAGGUGCAUCUGAAUAUUAGAGUCAAGUGAUUUGGAUCUGAACUCUCCAAGGUGGUGGAUCUCCAAAACCUCCGUUGGGCACCCCUGACCUAAACACUCUCUAGGGUGUUUGUUUGGAAAUUGAAACAAAACCCUGCUCGUGAUUAAGCUACUGUAAAUCUGACCAGCACUUUAUGCUUAUAAUUGGAGUUAAAUGUGUACACUUGUAGGAAAAUCUGAAGAACUAAAACAAGCCUGUAAAUAUGACCAAUGAGUCAAGCUUUCAUGCAUAAGAACUGUUAACGUAAAUUAGAAUUGACUUUUAGUUUAUUCCAACAAACUGACUGGAAGGAAGAUGCUGCACACUUCGCACUCUGAAUAAAAGCAAUCUUCCAAAUGCG